AGUUAGUGUGGUUUGUGAGAGUGAUUGAGAACUUAGAGGAACAGAAGAAAUUCACCUGGGUCGUAACCAACUAGUUUGUUGUAUCAAUUGAGAUGGAGCAGCAUAGCGAAACGUGCGAUAGAGAAGAAGUACGCGAGGGUGGUGGUGGUUCCUCCUUGGAUCCUCCCAAUCCAGAGGGAGAAACCCCAAUCUCCGACGACGUCGCAUUCAACAAUCAAAGCGAAAUUUUCAGAGCGAUCGAAGUUGUGGAGCGCGACUCAUUGGCCAUCGCUCAGAGUUUCACUUCUCUCUUCGCCUCCCUCCGUCUGGCGCUCUCCGAAUCCACCGCCACCUCACUCCACCACAUGCAGUGCUUCACCGAUGCCACCGGUCGCCUUCAGGAAUCCGUGCUUGAUGCAGCAAACAAGGGGAAUCGCUAUAUAAAUUCCUGUCUCAGAUUGAAUGAAGAGAUGAAGACUGUUGAUGGACUCGCUGCUCAUUUUACUCCACUGAAGUGAGAAAUUGCAUGUUUGAUUGCGGAUCCGCUUGAAUUUCCACAUUCAGGUUGAUAUGUUUCCGAACAUGCCGAAAGAAUCUACUGUGUAAGCCAUGGCGUGCUUAGUACCGUGUUAACAUACUCCACUUUGAUUUAAUGGUGAACCCUUGUGCAUUUUAGAGGCGUUCUCUCUGGACGAGCCUUAUUUGCUGCUUGAGAUGAAGACUUGUGUGAUUAAAAAACCCUAAGAAGGCAUGUAGAUUCUCUGGACUCAGCUGUUAACAAGCUUCUUCAAUUCCCCUGAUACCUUGGGAUUCAGUCCUGUACAAGUUGUUAAGACUGAGGGUUGAGAAGCGGUGAAAUUUCCUCCUUUUUCCCCAGUAAACAAGAGAUAGAGUCUACGAUAUUGUUCCUCGUGUCACAAAAUUUUCCUCUAGUGCUGACCAAAAACAAACACAAGAUUGUCCUCUAGUGUGUCACAAGAUUUUUCCAGUGCACAGUAUGUUUGAAGUUUUAGAUGUGAUGAUUUUAUGUAUGUGCCUUUGUCAUUAUCACUGGUGCUGUUAAUAGUUUGUAUUGAGGAAAAAAAAUGAAAGUACGUACAGUCUAGAGUAGCAUAUUUUGGUUCUUCAUCUUGUUCUGAAAUGGUAUAAAAACAUUCUAUGCCUCUUUGGGAGAGAUGGGAUAAGAUAAACUGCCUUUACUCUUGUUUUA